rnacentral:misc_RNA from 1 species
GUAGGUGAACCUGCGGAAGGAUCAUUAGUAGUUGGGGGGACGUGCCGAUAGGCGCGUCUCCGAAGGAGAAUGCGAGGCGAAUGCGUAGCAUGAGCGAGCGUAGCAGCGUAGCAGCGAAGCUGCAAAGCAGCGCAGCAACUGUCUUGCUCGUGCGAAGCAUGAGCCAGCGGCGUGGGUUGGGGAAUGUGGGAUGUGGAGUUGUUGAGGUAGUAGUCGUGUCAGUACUUGUUACUGUCACUCACACAACCCU